UGGGGAAUAUUGGGCAAUGGGCGCAAGCCUGACCCAGCAACGCCGCGUGAGGGAAGAAGGCUUUCGGGUUGUAAACCUCUGUCCUUGGUGACGAAACAAAUGACGGUAGCCAAGGAGGAAGCCCCGGCUAACUACGUGCCAGCAGCCGCGGUAAUACGUAGGGGGCGAGCGUUGUCCGGAAUUACUGGGCGUAAAGGGUGCGUAGGUGGCCUUUUAAGUUGGAUGUGAAAUACCCGGGCUUAACUUGGGGGGUGCAUCUAAUACUGGAGGGCUAGAGUGCAGGAGAGGAAAGCGGAAUUCCUAGUGUAGCGGUGAAAUGCGUAGAUAUUAGGAGGAACACCAGUGGCGAAGGCGGCUUUCUGGACUGUAACUGACACUGAGGCACGAAAGCGUGGGGAGC
rnacentral:rRNA from 1 species